CUAUUCUUCAAUUGCAGUAGCACUGAGAUGUACAAUGUGUUGUAUAAGAGGUGAGGCUGAAAAUGCAGCCAUGGAGAACAACUUAAAAUAACUCACACAAAAUGCUAGGUCAGGCAGCAUUUAUGAAAAUGAGUAAACAAUCGACGUUUUGGAACGAAACCUUUCUUCACGACUGAAUGGAGAGAGGAACUAUCUGGGCCAAAAGAACCUGCUUCUCUGUUGUAUGACGUUACCUCAGAGAUAAAAUAAGUAAUAAUUCGAAAAUUAUUGAUUGCCAGUCAGCCUUUAUAAAAUUUGAAUCCGCAGCUGUCAGCCCCGGAGAUCCUAAUCGGGAAUGAGUUUGGCGCCAUUGGUUUUCCAGUUGGGUGACAUGGAAAGCUGAGUGCAGAAGCAGUAAACCGCGCUGUAUAAAUGUGGCGUCUUGGAGUCAGUCAGUGAGAACGCAAACUCAGAACAGACUGUAAUCCCGGUCACAGAGUGAACAAGGCAACUCACACCGGCUGAACAACCAUGAAGUGGGGCAUCGUCGUCCAAAUCAGCUGCAUUUUGUUGCUCUCUCUACCGUGUUCCGCAGAAGAAAAAGAACUGAAAUAAAGGGGCAUUUCUGCUAUAUAAAUGGCACCGUUGGGACAGAGAAAUCAGUAUCAUUUCUGGCCAGAGCUAAGGAAUGGAGAUUUGAGCAUCAAAGAGAAAACUUCAAAAUAUUAAUAUUAUUGUUUGAAAUAAUUUUACUCUUGAAAUUCUGUAUGUUAAUCCAGACAUACCUUUAAUUGGAUGCAUUUAAUAAAGAUAUGUGGAACUGUAAUUUUUGUCAUUUUAGAAUAACUUAAAUCAGAUGAUUAUCGCUAAACUCUACCAUGGUGGAGAAUAUUCCAUUUUUCAGUUCUGGCAUUUUUAUAUACAACUUGUGUAUUGCUAAAAUUAUAAUAAAAUAAAGGAAUUCCAUGUA